GACGAACGCUGGCGGCGUGCUUAACACAUGCAAGUCGAACGGAAAGGCCCUGCUUUUGUGGGGUGCUCGAGUGGCGAACGGGUGAGUAACACGUGAGUAACCUGCCCUUGACUUUGGGAUAACUUCAGGAAACUGGGGCUAAUACCGGAUAGGAGCUCCUGCUGCAUGGUGGGGGUUGGAAAGUUUCGGCGGUUGGGGAUGGACUCGCGGCUUAUCAGCUUGUUGGUGGGGUAGUGGCUUACCAAGGCUUUGACGGGUAGCCGGCCUGAGAGGGUGACCGGCCACAUUGGGACUGAGAUACGGCCCAGACUCCUACGGGAGGCAGCAGUGUGGAAUAUUGCACAGUGGGCGGAAGCCUGAUGCAGCAACGCCGCGUGCGGGAUGACGGCCUUCGGGUUGUAAACCGCUUUCGCCUGUGACGAAGCGUGAGUGACGGUAAUGGGUAAAGAAGCAGCGGCUAACUACGUG
rnacentral:rRNA from 1 species